rnacentral:sRNA from 1 species
GGAAGUGAGGAGCCCCCUGCCCCAGGAACAGAGGAAGACACCCCUUUGAAACCUUCAGCACAAACCACAGUUGUAACUAGCCAGAGUUCAGUUGAUUCCACCAUCUCUAGUUCUUCUUCCACUAAAGGAAUAAAGAGGAAAGCUACAGAAAUUAGCACUGCAGUGGUUCAGAGGUCAGCUACCAUUGGCAGUUCUCCAGUUCUCUAUAGCCAGUCAGCUAUAGCUACAGGCAAAGAAGAGUAAGACCAAAAUGCCAUCUUUGGUAAAAAAGUGGCAGAGUAUCCAGCGUGAGUUAGAUGAAGAGGACAAUUCUAGUUCCAGUGAAGAGGAUCGGGAAUCAACUGCACAGAAGCGAAUUGAAGAGUGGAAACAGCAGCAGCUGGUUAGUGGCAUGGCAGAGAGAAAUGCUAAUUUUGAAGCCCUUCCUGAGGAUUGGAGAGCAAGGCUGAAGAGAAGGAAAAUGGCUCCAAACACAUAGUUUUUAAGUUUUUAAAACUUUUUUGUAUUAUUGUUUGUUUUGUGUUCAGUUCAAAGUCUUAACCAGUUUUAUUGUCAAAUAAACUAUAAAUGUUAUGGGGGAGAUCUUAUAAAUUUCCUGGGCAAGAGUGUAUGCAUACAAAGUUUUCACUUUUGUGAAAUGUAAUUUUUCUGUUUUUGCAAAGGGAUGAGGUGA